CUGACCUCGAAUCAGGUGGGACUACCCGCUGAACUUAAGCU
rnacentral:rRNA from 1 species